AACGAACGCUGGCGGCAGGCCUAAAACAUGCAAGUCGAACGCCCCGCAAGGGGAGUGGCGCACGGGUGAGUAACGCGUGGGAACGUGCCCUUCACUACGGGACAACGUCGGGAAACUGACGCUAAUACCGUAUAAUGACUCCGGUCCAAAGAUUUAUCGGUGAAGGAGCGGCCCGCGUUUGAUUAGCUAGUUGGUGAGGUAAAGGCUUACCAAGGCUACGAUCAGUAGCAGGUCUGAGAGGAUGAUCUGCCACACUGGGACUGAGACACGGCCCAGACUCCUACGGGAGGCAGCAGUUAGGAAUAUUGGACAAUGGCGAAAGCCUGAUCCAGCCAUGCCGCGUGUGUGAUGAAGGCCCUAGGGUUGUAAAGCACUUUCGUUGGGGAUGAUAAUGACCGUACCCAAAGAAGAAGCACCGGCUAACUUCGUGCCAGCCGCCGCGGUAA
rnacentral:rRNA from 1 species